GAGCAGAGCUUUACAUAGAGGUAGAAAAAUUCAUCAUGCAGCAGUUUUGGAGAGAGUAUUUUCUCCCCUUUGUGGUUCCAGAGAGCACGAUACACACCGAAACAUUUGGUGAUGAAAUGUUCUGACAUAAGAGAUUUGUUUCAAAAUUUAUCUGGGGCAGAGAGGGAACAAGACAAGCCAUGAGCUGCAAAUGCUAAAUCUGGUCAUCAAGUUGAAGUAGGUCAACUGGUCUUAUUAACGGCAGAACUGACGUGGUCAUCCAGAAGAUGUAGAUGCAAGAAGCAACUCCAGAACAGCCUUCCAAGGCAGAUAUGUGGAGACCAGCGGAAGCCAGAGGAACUGAGCUGAAACCUGCCUGUAUCUUCCCAACAGGCUGACCUUGAAUAUGCUUUGCUCACUGAGUCUCACAUGCCUUCGAUAAAAUAUGUCUGAAGAAACCUGCUGUUGAGUAUUCUGGGAUUUAAAUGAAUAACAACAUACUUAAGUGCUUAGUAGAGUGCAAAGAUGUAGAAGCUUAAAUUUUUAUUCUUAAACUUUCCUGAAACCCAAAGUGGGGCUCCAUCCUCAUACAUUCUGGGUACAAGUUUUGAAUCUGAUUUUCUGACUGGUAUAGGCAGUAAAUCAAAUCCUUCUACAAAGUAAUCAUUUGGAGAAUUCAUUGCCCAGGAAUUCAGAUGGGUGAUAUCUUGGGCUGUGACCAAUGUCCCAUAGACUGAGUGCUUAAAGCACAAAUGCUUAUUUCUCACAGUGCUGGAGUCUGGAAAGCCCAAGAUGAAAGAGAUGAUAGAUCUCAAAUCUUCUGGAACUUUCUUCCAGGCUUUUAAGUGGCUGUCUUCUUGCUAUCUGUUCACAUGGUGGAGAGAGAAAUGCUGUCUUCUUCUUUUUAUUAAGGCAUUGAUCCCAUCACGAGGGCCUAUCCUUAUUGCCUAAUCUGACCACUUCCCCCAUACUUCACCUCUAACACCAUUAUUCUGGGGGUUAAAUUUUUUGGGGGGGCAGAUAGGACACAUACAUGCAUCUAUGACAGGUGAAUUGGAUGCUUCCACCUGAAUUUGAAGCUCAGACUCAGAAGCCUGGAAACUUUCUCAACAUUUUCUCCAGAUAUGACUCAUACUCAGCAAACAUAUAUCACUGUGGAUCAUGUGGUUUAAGCAGGGUUGCUGGGGAAACUGUCUAGGUAUCAGCACAUAGUAGGUAUUUAUCAAAAAGACUGAAUGAGUGACUGACUGGUGAGAAAUCUCCCAGAGUCCUCAUACUGGGCUGUACUUUAGUUCCACCAAUGCCAGUGUUGCAUAUGUUCCUUUUUCCAGGAUAUUUAGACAGUAGUCCCUCUUCAUUCACAGGGGAUGCAUUCCAACAUCCCCAGUGAUGCCUGAAACCACAAGUAGUACCAAACCCGGUAUAUGCUAUGUUAUUUUCUAUACAUACAUUCCUAUAAGAAAGUUUGUUAUGAAUAAUAAGAGACUAAUAAUAACUAAUAACAUAGAAGUACAACCAUACACUAUAGGACAAGUUAUGUAAGUGUGAUCUCUUUUUCUCUCAUCUUUCUUAGAACAUCUUAAAUUGGAUUCAUCUUUCUUCCUGUGAUACAAAGCAAUGCUUGCAUGAUGGGAUGAGGCGAGGUGAACGAGACAGGCACUUGGGCGUAGUAUUAGGCUGUUACAUAAGGGUUACUUGGACACAAGCACUGCAGUACCACAACAGUCUAUCUGCUAGCUGAGAUGACUACAAAGCAACUAACGGGCAGGUAACGUAUACAGUGUAGACAUGCUUGGCAAAGGGAUGAUUCGCAUCCCAGGUGGGAUGGUGCAAGAUUUCAUCCUGCUACUCAGACUGGUGAAUAAUUUAAAGCUUAUGAAUUUGAAUUUGUGGAAUUUUCCAUCUAAUAUUUUCAGACUGAGGUUGACUAUAUGUAAAUGAAUCCACAGGAAAUGACUACAGUAUUCCCUCUCUGUACCAUGUUACGAUGCUGGCAGAGAGGUCUAAGGGUCCCUUUAGAGGUGGGAUGAAUACCUUCCCGCUUCUCUUGCCCUGCACCCUGGGAAACAGGCAGAAAACUGGGCGAGCCUCUCGCUGUAUUUGUCCAUGAGUAGCUAGCACUCCCCGGAGGGCUCCAGGGCCCAGCUUUCACCGUCAGCCUGCACCGGUGUGGCCCACCCAUCAGGCAGCAGGUGCCAGCUGGCUCCUUGCUAGCCUGUCCCAUCUGCUAGAGGAGGUGGCACAGGAGAGGCUGGGAGAAGCUCUUAAGCUGCAGGGCCAGUCUGUUGCAUAUUACAGGUACACUGGGAGACCACAGAACGCGGUUGUGGGAAGGUUACCUUGCUCUCCCCACGGAAAGGAGCAAGGAAAAUAGACCUUCCCAGUCCCCUUCCUAGAGCAGAUGAUACCCCAAUUCUACCUUUUGGGCAAGCUGCUUACUUGUCUGAGCCUGAAUUUUUCAUCUCUCUGAAAGAUGAAGACCAUGAUAGAAAUUUAUGUUAUUAUUCGUAUUUCAAGUAAACAAGCUACAGGUUAGUUUCUCCUACCCCUCUAAAGCCUGGUGGAUACAAUUUGUUCAAUCUGCUGUAGCUGGUAAGGCAAGCAACAGCUAAGAAUCACAGACCUCCCGCCAAGGUAGGGGCCCAAGGUAAUCCCACCGUGACCGACAGAGGAGGACAGGUUUGCAUGAAUAGUUGCAGGCUAUCUGCUGUUUCCGUUCUCCAAGUUUUCCAGGGACAGGAAACAACAGCAACACAAAUUCUCUUAAGAGCCAGGUAGGUGGUGUAAAUGAGUAGAGCAUGCUAAGGGUUUGUACAGUAAACAUUAGCAAUCCUCCCUUCUAAAAAGACGCUUUCCUCACUUGCUGGUAAAACACACAGUCCUCUGGGUGUAUGUUUUCUUUUCUCACUUUUUGUAGAUUUGGGAGCGCAGAGGAAGGUUUCUGUACUACAAGCAAAACACUAACAUCAAGUGACAACUGUGCAAGGCGCUGGGGAGUAUGCCCUUCAUCCAAAGGGACUGUGCUGUUCUGCUCCAGCCAGGCGCUGAGUCCCUGGUGCAGCCAGAUCAUCUACUCUUUUUAUUUGAAAGAAACUAGAAACCUAGAUUUAAAAAGAAUUUGUUGAAUCUCCUGUUUUUCCUGUAUUUUUUGCCUGCUUCAUUGCUUUGAAUACAUGCCAAGUAGAGCUCACCAGCCUGGCCUGCGGCACGUUCUCCUCCCACCGUACAGUGACUGCUGAUGGGUCCUUGCUGAUUUUUCCAAGGGCAUUCUGGGUAACCAUCCUCCUGCUCUGGGGUCCUCAGUGAUGAGAGGGCCUUGUCACUGGCUUGACUUGGGCCUGGUGCCCAUGGGCAUGCCAGGGGCUGGUGCAGGUUGGGUAGAGGGUUGGUCUCUUUUUUUUGCAUCAGAAUUUCCUUUCCGGGGUCUUUUUGUCACCCUGAGAUAGCAGGUAGGGUGCUGGCUCCUUCUGCAGGCUGCGUCCUGGUAUCUUGCUGGCUAGAGUGGGAAGAGAUGCAAUCCUGGGUCCUGACCCACUUCCUGGGAGAAGUGACAGAGCAGCAGUGUAAGUUAAGCCAUGAGACUUCCGGGAUGGCCCCUCGUUUUACCCAUGCACAGGCCGAGAUGCAGAAAGCCGCAGGGCUUCCUCUGGGCGCACAGUUCAGCAGUGACAGCGAGCGGGUGAGACUGCUGCACAGCAGCUCCCUGCAUCGGCCCCUCCAGGUUUCCUCUGCAGUUCGAGAUUCGAGCUGAGUGUACGACCGAACUUCAGAGCUGAGGCUGAGGGCCUGCGUGAGGCCAAGGGGAACGAAGGGGUGCGUGUGCUUGUGAGGAUUUUGGAGUCUCCUGUUUUCCUUCAAUAUGAACAGAAUUCACCCAAGAUGGAGCCAAAACUUAUUUUGUCAUCAGGGUCUAGGGUCGCCAUGCUCACAGUGCCUACCACAGCCCCGUGGCUGGCAAGUAGGACCUAAGGGCAGACUGGGGUCCGAGAGGGCAAAAUGGUGACAUGGCAGCCAUCUCGCCAUUUUGCACAUGGCAGCUCUUGUUGGUGGCCAGGAGAGCAAACACCAGGGCUGUGUGUGCUUCACCUUCAUGUCUUCACCUUCCCAGCCUUUCCUUCUCUCCUGCUCGCAGAGGACUGAGAUUUCAAUGGGGACUUCUCAACUCGGGUGAAGGAUCGGCUCCCUGGUGCAAUGGACC